rnacentral:tRNA from 1 species
CAACGAAAAGCCAAAAUAAGAGGCAUUUAACUGUUAAUUAAAUAAUUGUAAUUUUAUUACUUCGCUGG